CAACUUUCAACAAUGGAUCUCUUGGUUCUGGCAUCGAUGAAGAACGCAGCGAAAUGCGAUAAGUAGUGUGAAUUGCAGACUUUAGUGAAUCAUCGAAUCUUUGAACGCACAUUGCGCCCCUUGGUAUUCCAUUGGGCAUGCCUGUUCGAGCGUCAUUU
rnacentral:rRNA from 6 species